AUAGGACCUGCUCAAAGGAACACACAAUGCAACCACAUGGACAUUUGUACUGCUGGGACUGGCCUUUGUCUGCCUUCUUGUUGGUUUUCUUCUCCUGGGAAUGGGAGCCAUGGCAAAUAAGAGCAGGAAGAAGAUAGCCGAGUACAAGGCUGCAACAUCUCUGCUUCAGAAAAAUGAAGAUCAGGAGCUGCUCAAAGAAAACAGCACACACCCAGCAUCAGACAUGCCACUGCAGGGAAACAAGCCUCACAUGUCCAACAGUGACACAAGUGAGCAGAGCAAUGCAGGAAAUAUUGUGGUCACAUGGAAAGAUGGCAACACCUCCUGCCUGUACCCAGAUCCUGCGGUGGAAGAGAAACAGGAGGAAGAGAGGAAAGAGAAAAUAACAGCUGCUGAGCUCGACUCUCCAGAUGAAGUGAAGAUUAUGAGCUGAAGAGGUCACAGUGAAUACCAGCGGCAGUGGGAGUGGCAGUGUUUGCUUUAAUAAUUGAUCAUAAUUUUCUGAUUAUUCUUAUUUUCAUGACUUCAGAGUGAAAUUUUAUGAAACCCUCAAAUGAUCAGAAAACAGUUCUCUUUUUUAUUCAUUCCUAAUAAAGCUCAUAACAGUUUACAUUACAGUUUCAAUGGGUGGUUGCGCUCAUAAAAUGUGUCCACGUGGGAACAAAAGUUGUAUAAAAAUGGUUCCCUGUAAAGGUAUUCUAUAAAAACAGUUUCUGGAUGUAAGUUCAGAUCUGCUUAUGUGUGCUUCCCCCAAUGGGCUUCGCCAUUGUUAGUUUUGGGGUGGCUAAAGGAGGCAGCUCUGCCCCUGCUGAUGGUUCAGUUUCUAGGGCUCCUCUUGUGGUGUUGAUGAUGAUUUCUGGUUUGAUGGGCUGUAAAGUUGCUUUCAAUAAGGUUCUGUCCACAGGGAGUCUGACAAAUAGACACCGAAUGUUCUAGUCUUCCUCCAUCCUGUGUUGUGAACUGAAA
ensembl:lncRNA